UUAACAUUUAAUGGAACAUAUCAUUUAAGCCCCGUUUGGCCCCCAUUCUUGACAGAAGGCUUUUUAUCAGUAGAUCACUUCGACUUAUGGCUUUUGAUCACUUUAUUAUGUUUUAUUAUUUUUCUUCUGUGUUUUUGUCUUCAACCUUGCAAUGCACAAGGUUGUGUAGAGCAGUUUGUCAUAGCAGGAUAAUGUGCUGACAGAGACCAAUUUUGACCUGUAAAAGAAAAGAGGAAGUAAGGAGUUAACAAAGAUAUACUGAGUUAUUGAUUUCCACCUUGGUCACAUUCUCUCAAGAUAUAUCGAAUUGUACAAUUAAAGACCUGUAUUUUGUAUUUAAGAUCUGUUUUUGGAAAAUCAAAAGUUGUUUCAGAGAUUAAGAAACUACUUUUGAACCUAUGAGGACAAUUUUUUGAAGGUGUUUUCUCUUAUUAGAAAAGCUUUUAAAAGAAAAUUGUUUAAUGUAACUUUCUUGAGAAGUUCUUCUGUAAGAAGUAGAAACAAAAGCAAAAGUUAAGGCUAUGCCAAAAGGGUUUGUAUCAUCAUUGUUAUUUUUUUGUUUUUGUUUUUGGUGGACCUUAGAAUUUGAUAUAUUCGAGUAAAGUAAUGUUUCUAUUCGGCAUUAAUUUGUGUCACAUUGAAAGAUGGAUUCAAUUAAAUGGGUCUUAGAUUCUUAACAUUUAAUAGAACAUAUCAUUUAAGCCCCGUUUGGCCCCCAUUCUUAACAGAAGGCUUUUUAUCAGUAGAUCACUUCGACUUAUGGCUUUUGAUCACUUUAUUAUGUUUUAUUAUUUUUCUUCUGUGUUUUUAUCUUCAACCUUGCAAUGCACAAGGUUGUGUAGAGCAGUUUGUCAUAGCAGGAUAAUGUGCUGACAGAGACCAAUUUUGACCUGUAAAAGAAAAGAGGAAGUAAGG
rnacentral:lncRNA from 1 species